GAUAGAUACCGUCGUAGUCUCUACCGUAAACUAUGCCGACCAGGGAUCCGGAGAGUUUGCAUGGAUGACUCCCCGGGCACCUUGUGAGAAAUCAUAAGUGUUUGGGUUUUGGGGGGAGUAUGGUCGCAAGGCUGAAACUUAAAGGAAUUGACGGAAGGGCACCACCAGGAGUGGAACCUGCGGCUUAAUUUGACUCAACACGGGGAAACUUACGAGGUCAGGACACUGUGAGGAUUGACAGAUUGAAAGCUCUUUCUUGAUUCAGUGGGUGGUGGUGCAUGGCCGUUCUUAGUUGGUGGAGUGAUUUGUCUGGUUAAUUCCGUUAACGAACGAGACCUUAACCUGCUAAAUAGUCACGCGAACCGGUCCGCAAGGGCUCAAAGUUCGCGGCUCGACUUCUUAGAGGGACUAUUCGCACCCGCCAGCGAAUGGAAGUUUGAGGCAAUAACAGGUCUGUGAUGCCCUUAGA
rnacentral:rRNA from 1 species